GUGUUUGCCUCGGCAGCACGUAUACUAAAAUUGGAAUGAUAUACAGAAGAUUAGCAUGGCCUCUCUGCAAGAGUGACACGCAAAUUCAUGAAACAGUCCAUAUUUUU
ensembl:snRNA U6 U6 spliceosomal RNA